rnacentral:rRNA from 1 species
GAUGAACGCUGGCGGCGUGCCUAAUACAUGCAAGUCGAGCGAACAGACGAGGAGCUUGCUCUUCUGACGUUAGCGGCGGACGGGUGAGUAACACGUGGAUAACCUACCUAUUAGCCUGGGAUAACUUUGGGAAACCGGAGCUAAUACCGGAUAAUAUAUUGUACCGCAUGGUUCAUUUGUGAAAGACGGAUUUGCUGCACUUUAUAGAUGGCCUCCGGUCGAUUAAGCUAGAUGGUAGGGUAACGGUCAACCAAGGCAACGUUGCGAAGCGGACCUGGAGGGUGAAUCGGCAACCCGGGAAUUGGAACACGGCCAGAACUCCAACGGGGGGCGACAGAGGGGAAUCUUGGGCAAGGGGCGAAAGCCUAACGGGGCAAGGCCGGGGGGGGGAUAAAGGUCUUCGAAUCGUAAGACUCUGUUAUUGGGGAAGAAGGAAGUGGUAAGUAACUAUGCACGUCGUGACGGUACCUAAUCAGAAAGCCACGGCUAACUACGUG